rnacentral:lncRNA from 1 species
GGAUUUGUUGGGACUCUGACAACAAUAUAGUGGUUGGAGCCUGAAGUUCAUGUACCCCAUGCUUCUCAUAAGGUUAAUUUUCUGCAUCCUCAUUUAUUUCAUUUGCUUUUUUCUUUUCUUUAAAAUAUAAUCUGCUGUGUGCUAAGAUUCUGUUUAUUUGAGGAUAAAACGAGGUCGAAAAUGCUUGCAAUUUCUUGUUUUAUCAUUCUAGGCACCAUAAGAUCGCAGAGAAAAUAAGAGUUUGGCAAUUUGCAGAUAAAUGCUCCAUUAUUAACUCGUUUACUGAUUCGAGGAAAGUUUUCAAAGAGAUUAUGUAGAUCUUCAAGAAGUUCCAUCUAAAUGAACUCACUAAAUUAUGACCUAAUGAGCGUUUUUAUUAUUUCAUUGUUUUUCCAAACAUUAUCUGUCCUAUUAAUCUACUUCUGACUUAUUUAGGAAGAAAAACAUCACAAAUGGUAUUUGAAAUUGGAUAAAGCAUAUGAGUAGCCAACCCCAAAAAUUAACAAGUCAUAGUCUCUCUCUCUCACUUUUGGACUUGGAAACUUCUGGUGCUUUUUUCUGAAACAGCUUUAAUGCUGAGACCAAAAGGUGGAAUCUUACACCUACCACACUACUUUGUCUAAGAAAGCAGACGGCCUUGACCAUAGAGGUUGGUAAAUGCAAAUAUUAAAGACUUUAUUGAGUCAAUUUUUUUUAUCAUUUGUACUAGUUCAUUAAAUAAGACAAUAAUUAUGAGUAAGUUGUGUAUUAAAAGCAUGAAAAAAUUAUGGGAGCUGCACUAUAAAGUCAGGAUGAAAGAUUAUGCCUUUGUUUGAGCCACAUUAUUUUCAUUAGAAUGCAUUUUUGAAUUGUGUAUUGAUGAGAAAUGUGUGGUUAAAAAUAAAGAAUAGUUUUGAAUUUGAG